rnacentral:lncRNA from 1 species
UGCUAGGUCUGUACAGUUGAGGGGAGCCUGUUGAUCCCAGGGAAGGGCUUUCUGCCCUCUGCCUAAGCAAACUUCCAAUGUCUGUAGUACCUGCCGAUGUGGCCUACUGCCCCAGGACAGAUGGAGUCAUCUUGGGCUGCUAGUUGCAUGAUGUUGAAAUAAUGAGUAAUCUUAGGAUGGGUAUUUUUCUGGUAAUCUUUAAUCUUAUUAUUCCAAAGGAAUUUUGUAGGGAGAAAUUCAUUAUUUACUAUUCUACAAUAAACUUUAAAAGUCAUUGUGAUGGUUUAAAUGAGAAUGGCCCCAAUAGACUCAUAUAUUUGAGUGCUUAGUCACCAGGGAGUGGAACUCUUUGAAAGGAUUAGAAGGAUUGGGAGGUGUGGUCUUGUUGGAGGAAUCAGAUGCCCAUGCCAGGCCCAGUCUCUGUCUUUUGGCGAUUCACACUGAUCAAGAUGUGACUCUUAGCUACUCCUCCAUACUCCAGCACCAUGUGUGCCUCUAUGCUCCCUGUCACUGUGCUCCCUGCCCUGGAUGAUAAACUAAACCCCUGAAACUGUGCAAGCCCUAGUUAAAUGUUUUCCUAUUUAAGAGUUGCCUUGGGGCGGGCAGGAAAAAUGGUGGCCGGGUUCAAAACUGUGGAACCACUGGAGUAUUACAGGAGAUUUCUGAAAGAAAACUGCCGUCCUGAUGGAAGAGAACUUGGUGAAUUCAGAACCACAACUGUGAACACAGGUUCAAUCAGUACAGCGGAUGGCUCUGCUCUAGUGAAGGUGGGGAACGCCACAGUCAUUUGUGGAGGUAAAGCAGAAUUGGCAGCACCACCAGUAGAUGCCCCCGAUGGACGAUAUGUCGUCCCUAAUGUGGACCUACCACUGCUGUGUUCAUCGAGGUUUCGGACUGGACCUCCUGGAGAAGAGGCUCAAGUAACCAGCCAGUUCAUUGCAGAUGUCAUUGAGAAGUCACAGAUAAUUAAGAAAGAGGACUUAAGCAUUUCUCCAGGGAAGCCUGCUUGGACCUUAUUUGCCUAGACUACGACGGGAACAUUUUGGAUGCCUGCACGUUUGCUUUGUUAGCAGCUUUAAAGAUUGUACAGUUGCCUGAAGUCACUAUAAACGAAGAAACUGCUUUAGCGGAAGCCAAUUUAAAGAAGAAAAAUUGAAUGU